UCUCCCCUCUUCAUGUCCAAGAAGUUGGACGUUCAUCUGGCAUAGGUGCAAGGCAUGGUGACGCCUGGAACAGAAGGCUGCAGGACUUCUUCGACAGGCUGCUGCUCCAACUUCAGAAGGAGUUCUGAAGUACAUUCAAAUCAGAUAUUGAUCUGAUUUUUGGAGUGUAGAAUUGUGAGGAGAAGAUGUUCCAGAUCCUACCUGAGUGGAUUCUGGUAGAGGCCAGGCAC
rnacentral:lncRNA from 1 species